GUCCGGAUUGCCCCGUCGGUAGAGCAUCAAACUUUUAAUCUGAGGGUCUAGGGUACGAGUCCCUGUUCGGGCG
rnacentral:tRNA from 1 species